rnacentral:rRNA from 1 species
AUUGAACGCUGGCGGCAUGCCUUACACAUGCAAGUCGAACGGCAGCGGGGACUUCGGUCCGCCGGCGAGUGGCGAACGGGUGAGUAAAGCAUCGGAACGUACCCGGAAGUGGGGGAUAACGUAGCGAAAGUUACGCUAAUACCGCAUAUUCUGUGAGCAGGAAAGAGGGGGAUCUUCGGACCUCUUGCUUUCGGAGCGGCCGAUGUCAGAUUAGCUAGUUGGUGAGGUAAGGGCUCACCAAGGCGACGAUCUGUAGCGGGUCUGAGAGGAUGAUCCGCCACACUGGAACUGAGACACGGUCCAGACUCCUACGGGAGGCAGCAGUGGGGAAUUUUGGAAAAUGGGCGCAAGCCUGAUCCAGCCAUGCCGCGUGAGUGAAGAAGGCCUUCGGGUUGUAAAGCUCUUUCGGCCGGGAAGAAAUCGCAUGGGUUAAUACCCUGUGCGGAUGACGGUACCGGCAUAAGAAGCACCGGCUAACUACGUGCCAGCCGCCGCCGUAACAC